AGCGAACGCUGGCGGCAGGCUUAACACAUGCAAGUCGAACGGGCACUUCGGUGCUAGUGGCAGACGGGUGAGUAACGCGUGGGAACGUACCUUUCGGUUCGGAAUAACCCAGGGAAACUUGGAUUAAUACCGGAUACGCCCUUCGGGGGAAAGAUUUAUCGCCGAUAGAUCGGCCCGCGUCUGAUUAGCUAGUUGGUGAGGUAAUGGCUCACCAAGGCGACGAUCAGUAGCUGGUCUGAGAGGAUGAUCAGCCACAUUGGGACUGAGACACGGCCCAAACUCCUACGGGAGGCAGCAGUGGGGAAUAUUGGACAAUGGGCGCAAGCCUGAUCCAGCCAUGCCGCGUGAGUGAUGAAGGCCUUAGGGUUGUAAAGCUCUUUUGUCCGGGAAGAUAAUGACUGUACCGGAAGAAUAAGCCCCGGCUAACUUCGUGCCAGCCGCCGCAGUAAGAC
rnacentral:rRNA from 1 species